GGAGGGCGCGGGCCCGGGCGGGCGGGCGCUCCUGGGAGGCGGCGGCUGCACCGGUCCCGCCGCCUGAGGGAAGCCAACGGGAUGUUGUUACGGAGCCAGCGGAUCCGGAGCAACCCCGGAAGUGAAAGGGAACCGGGGGAAGGGAGGAAAAGGCGGCGACAAUAGCAACCAGGUCCGGCGACGGGGGCCGGGAGGGGUCAGUUCCCGCCGCCACCAAGCGCGGGCGCCCUCGCGAGGCCGGGCUGCGAAGGAAGCGGCGAAGAAAUUUGAUGGCCCCUGUGCUAGAUUCAAGGAUGCUUCUCCCAACUGCCUCAGUUUCCUCCUGGCUGCAGCCCAAAGGCCACAAGACCCCACUGAAUCAGAGAACUCCAGGGUUAGGAGGCAUUAGUGGGCUUCCAGUGAAAUUUCUCAUCUGAGGCCAGAAUCUCCCAAGGAUACCUUCUCAAGAGAUCCCCUGGAGGCGAAGGCACACCACUGCCUGCAGAGGCCAAGUCACCUUCUUUGGGAAGUUCUGGCUGCUGGAAAAUCACUCCUUACACGGAACUAAAAUCUGGUGGAAAAAAAAGAAUUUGUUCAGGUUUUAUUGUUCAUAAUCCCAUCUCCAGCCUUUGGAGGAGGAAGACACUGUCACCAGCAAGAUGGUCUGUGCUGUCUGUCUUGUGUGGGGCAGCACAACGGGUAGGGAGGAGAUCUGCAGAAACUGUGUGCUCUGCGUGGAAGAAGAUGCUGGAUGCCUCUAGAGAGAGGAAUCCAGAAAAGGGAUGCUGGAGGGGCAUGGCUGAAGGGGAGGGGUGAGAGAGAACCUGCAGGCGGGGAAGGAGACAGAAGUAUGGGAGCUGUCUCAAAUUAUUCUUCAGUGCUUCUGGAGUAGGACUUGAGUGUGUGGGUGUGUUUCUAGAUGCUUCAAGCCAUUGAAAUGUCCUUCAAGGAUAUGGUCCAGGUGUAUUUGAGUUGUGUCAGUUUCCCUGACGUUCCCAUAAAACAAUCUCAUACUGUCAGUCCCAAGAGCUUUCAGACCAAGCAGCACCAUAGCCAUAAUGAUCCAAAUCCCACCUCACUGUCUUCCUUCCUGGCUACAGGUUUCCUCUUCUCUCACCUCAAAGGUUGCUUCAAACCAGAAGGCAUGGAAGGAGAGAGAGGUGGCGGGAGACCAUGCGCCAUCUCCUUGGCCCAGGGUAGAAGGUUUUCCAGGGCACAGAGUAAUGCACAGACCUCCAGAGCUAUGUUAGAGAUCCCGUAUUCAAGAUCUAUACCUGCAAUAAUUGUGUGUGCAAACUUUUGUUACCAUUUCUCUUCUUUGUGCCUCAGUCUCUUCCUCUGUACAACAGGAGGCUGGGGCUAGGAAAGUGCUCAAAUCCUGCUUGUUGCACUUGAGUGUUCUACAAGGGGGCUUUGGAGGUGUGGGGCAGGACGCGCCACAGUGAGGAUGCUAAGGGGCUGGGUUUCCUGGCCAUCCUACUCAACUUUCAUCUAAGCAUCUCUGUGCUAUCUAUUGGGUAGACUGGGAUUUCUUAAAAUCUGUUAAUACUAAAUUUCUGCUGCUAAAGAAAUAAAAAGGCUAGAAUCCAGUGAA